UACGUAGGGGGCAAGCGUUGUCCGGAUUUAUUGGGCGUAAAGCGCGUGUAGGCGGCCAGGUAGGUCCGCUGUGAAAACCCGAGGCUCAACCUCGGGACGUCGGUGGAAACCCCUUGGCUAGAGUCCGGAAGAGGAGAGUGGAAUUCCUGGUGUAGCGGUGAAAUGCGCAGAUAUCAGGAAGAACACCAAUGGCGAAGGCAGCUCUCUGGGACGGUACUGACACUGAGACGCGAAAGCGUGGGGAGCGAACAGG
rnacentral:rRNA from 1 species